rnacentral:rRNA from 1 species
AYAGRGAUUCCCUUAGUAACGGCGAGUGAACCGGGAAGAGCUCAAAUUUGAAAUCUGGSUGUCUUCGAUAGUCCGAGUUGUAAUCUAUAGAAGCGUUUUCCGUGCUGAACUGUGUCUAAGUCCCUUGGAACAGGGUAUCAAARAGGGUGACAAUCCCGUACUUGACACAAUCAUCAGUGCUCUGUGAUACGUUCUCUACGAGUCGAGUUGUUUGGGAAUGCAGCUCAAAAUGGGUGGUAAAUUCCRUCUAAAGCUAAAUAUUGGCGAGAGACCGAUAGCGAACAAGUACCGUGRGGGAAAGAUGAAAAGCACUUUGGAAAGAGAGUUAAACAGUACGUGAAAUUGUUAAAAGGGAAACGAUUGAAGUCAGUCGUGUUUAUUGRAUUCAGCCGGUCUUCGGUGUACUUCCKUUAAACGGGUCAACAUCAGUUUUGUCCGGUGGAUAAAGGCAGUAGGAAUGUGGCUCCCUCGRGAGUGUUAUAGCCUAUUGUCACAUACACYGGAGGAGACUGARGACUGCMGCUCGYCUUUUGGCCGGKGUUCGCCCACSUUCGAGCUUAGGAUGUUGACAUAAUGGCUUUAAACKACCCGUCUUGAACAMGGGACCCAAAAA